rnacentral:rRNA from 1 species
UACGUAGGGGGCAAGCGUUGUUCGGAUUCACUGGGCGUAAAGGGUGCGUAGGUGGGCAAGUAAGUCAGUGGUGAAAUCUCCGGGCUUAACCCGGAAACUGCCAUUGAUACUAUUUGUCUUGAAUACUGUGGAGGUCAGCGGAAUAUGUCAUGUAGCGGUGAAAUGCUUAGAUAUGACAUAGAACACCAAUUGCGAAGGCAGCUGGCUACACAAAUAUUGACACUGAGGCACGAAAGCGUGGGGAUCAAACAGG